UAUAUUUUAUAUUGCAUAUCCUACUACAGUAAGGUAAUCCACCAAGUUAUGUGUCUGCACUAGGUGAAUUGUCAUUAAUAUAGGACAUACAAUAUUAAAUUUGGGAAUGAUAUUCUGAUACCAUUAUUAUGUGUAAAUUUUAGGAAGAUAACUUUUCAGGUUUAGAAUAUGAUAGAAAAAAUGAGAGAUGCCUAGAGAGUGAGAAAUAUAU
rnacentral:lncRNA from 1 species